GAGUUUGAUCGUGGCUCAGGAUGAACGCUAGCGGCAGGCCUAACACAUGCAAGUCGAGGGGUAGAGGAAGCUUGCUUCCUUGAGACCGGCGCACGGGUGCGUAACGCGUAUGCAAUCUACCUUGUACAGAGGGAUAGCCCAGAGAAAUUUGGAUUAAUACCUCAUAGUGUUAUGAUGUGGCAUCACAUUAUAACUAAAGUUUCAACGGUACAAGAUGAGCAUGCGUCCCAUUAGCUAGUUGGUGUGGUAACGGCAUACCAAGGCAAUGAUGGGUAGGGGUCCUGAGAGGGAGAUCCCCCACACUGGUACUGAGACACGGACCAGACUCCUACGGGAGGCAGCAGUGAGGAAUAUUGGUCAAUGGGCGCAAGCCUGAACCAGCCAUGCCGCGUGCAGGAUGACGGUCCUAUGGAUUGUAAACUGCUUUUAUACAGGAAGAAACACCCCUUCGUGAAGGGCUUGACGGUACUGUAGGAAUAAGGAUCGGCUAACUCCGUGCCA
rnacentral:rRNA from 1 species